CAGACCGUGCUGGAGAAGCAGGGCACGUGCUCGACGGCUAGGCUUGCAGGCCGCAGCUUGGCUUAGCAGCAUGUGCGUUCCUUCUCCAGCAUGGCUUC
rnacentral:pre_miRNA from 1 species